GGGGUUGUGGCUCAGCGGUAAAGCACUCGCGUAGCAUGUGUGAGGCACUGGGUUCGAUCCUCAACACCA
rnacentral:tRNA from 1 species